UACGGAGGGUGCAAACGUUGCUCGGAAUCAUUGGGCGUAAAGCGCACGUAGGUGGCCUGUUAAGUCGGGUGUGAAAUCCCUGGGCUCAACCCAGGAAGUGCACUCGAAACUGGCAGGCUUGAGUACUGAAGAGGGUCGCGGAAUUCCCGGUGUAGAGGUGAAAUUCGUAGAUAUCGGGAGGAACACCGGUGGCGAAGGCGGCGAUCUGGGUCGAUACUGACGCUGAGGUGCGAAAGCGUGGGGAGCAAACAGG
rnacentral:rRNA from 1 species